UGGGGAAUAUUGCACAAUGGGCGCAAGCCUGAUGCAGCCAUGCCGCGUGUAUGAAGAAGGCCUUCGGGUUGUAAAGUACUUUCAGCGGGGAGGAAGGCGAUAAGGUUAAUAACCUUGUCGAUUGACGUUACCCGCAGAAGAAGCACCGGCUAACUCCGUGCCAGCAGCCGCGGUAAUACGGAGGGUGCAAGCGUUAAUCGGAAUUACUGGGCGUAAAGCGCACGCAGGCGGUCUGUCAAGUCGGAUGUGAAAUCCCCGGGCUCAACCUGGGAACUGCAUCCGAAACUGGCAGGCUAGAGUCUUGUAGAGGGGGGUAGAAUUCCAGGUGUAGCGGUGAAAUGCGUAGAGAUCUGGAGGAAUACCGGUGGCGAAGGCGGCCCCCUGGACAAAGACUGACGCUCAGGUGCGAAAGCGUGGGGAGCAAACA
rnacentral:rRNA from 1 species